rnacentral:lncRNA from 10 species
AAAAAGCAAGAUGGAAAAAUGUGCACAAUUACUGAAACUGAAGGAUGAAUAUGUGGGUGUUCAUGGUAUUCUUCCUUGACUUCCUGCAAGUUAGAACAUUUCCAUAAAGUAACAAAAAGUUAAAAUAUAUAAUGUAUGUAUGGAGUUCUGAAAUUAUAAAUGGCUUCAAAUACAGAAAAACUUCUUAAAUUCCUCCAUUGCCCAAGGAAUAAAUGUCCAGUGGUAAAAAAUUCAGGGAGAUAGGCAAGGAUGAUGUCUUCAUCUAUUUGUUCUGCUAUAACAAAAAUACCUGAGACUGGGUAAUUUUAAAAGGACAUAAAUUUAUUUCACAUACUUCUGGAGGCUGGGAAGUCCAAGAUCAAGCCACUGGCUUGUUUGGUGUCUUGCAAAGGCUGCUCUAAGCAUCCACGAUGGCGCCUUGUUGCUGAGUUCUCUGGAGAGGAGGAACCCUGUGUCCUCACAUGGUGAAAGUCAAGAGAGCCAAAUGCUGCACAAAGCCUCUUUCAUAAGGGCCUUAAUCCCAUUCAUGAGGGAGCACCCUUUUGACCAAUCACCUCUUAAAGGUCCCACCUCUUAAUGUUAUCACUAUCAGUUUAAAUACCUGAAUUUUUGAGGGGACACAUUCAAACCACAGCAGAGAAGGACUCAUGGGAGAAGAGACUGUCACCUGCCUGAUUCAGACCCAUGGUUUUCUGUUUGCCCAACCAUCUACUUGGGACUCUACCUGAAUUCAUUCUUAUUGGCCAGGUCUUCACUUCUUGCCAGCAGCACAGCAGGAGGACAAAGCAGAGGGUCCCGUCUCCUUGGCUCACUGCUGUGCUCCCUCCAGCUGAGGGAGAAGGACCUUAUAAAAGUCUUAAGUGUCCCAGCCUUGGUCUCCAGGACAGUGUGGAAUGUCAGGACCUGUGACAUCAUGACCAGGAAGGGAGCUGCUGGCAUCUUGCCUGGGCUGAGCAGAGUUUCUAUCCAGUCUAUGACUGGGUAGGAGGGAGGAGGUUGGUGGGAGUCUUAAGGUAACAGAGAUCCUCUCUCCCAUUGCUUUUUAUGGUGACUUCCUCCAUCCUGAGGACUCUGAAGACUGAAGGGGUAGACACUAAUUAGAACUCUAAGUGCCAGUAGCCAAAAGCCAACAAAAUCUGCUCCCAUGGAAAGAGGUGUAUUUGAAGGAUGCUGGAGAGGUCAUUGAGUUACAGAGCAAGUGCCAGAACCAACAGAUCCAGAGGGUCUAAUCACCUCUUAAAGGCCCCUUGAGGAACAGAGCCUUGAAGAACAGAGGCCCGUGGCCCCAUGUCCCUUUCCACUCUCUCCCACCCUCAAAGUUCCAGGGUGGUGAAGAACAGGAGACAGAUGACCCAGGUUUCAGCAUCCUUUCCCUCAAACCUUCUUUCUCAGCAUCAGUCCCAAUCUCCCCUUGGCAGUGAGACUUUCAUCACAAGAGGAGAACAUGGCUGCAUUUCCAUGUUAUCAUCCUCCCAGCUUGAUUUCCUAGACUUUCUAGAGCUUUCUUCAUCAGCACAGUGACAAACCCCAAAGGAGUCACUCUGGUUGACCCCCCUGGAUCCUAUCUCACCCCUGGACUGACUCCUAUGUCCAGGGCUCAGAGUGGGGCACCUGGUUUAGACUGGGCCAGGAGUGGGGUCCCGGGUGAACAGCCCUCAAAUCUCAGCUCCAUGGUAGAGAGGGAGAAAGAAGUGGUCCUGAAUGUACAACCGUGCCUCCUGAGACCAGGUCAGGACCCUAAGGAUGGCUUGACCACCAGGGAUCUUUGACCCUAUUUUUUUAUUGCUGAUAUGGGGGUUUGAAAAGACUUUCUCACUUUAAACAUUAUUUUUCACCUCGGAAUUCUUGUUUGAUUCAAUUUCAAUUAGCUGGGCUUUAUGUUUUAUUAUUACAUUUUCAUUUCCCUUAAAAUGAAUGCAUGGAUAUUAUAAUCUGUGACUUCACUGUGUAUCAUUCUAACAAUGAAAUGAUUGGGAAUGAUACACUUGGCUCAGGCUGUCUUUUCCUCAGAAUUUCUUAAAAAUAAUAUUUUAUUUUUUGGAGUAGUUUUAAGUUAACAGAAAAAUUGAACAAAAAGUUUCCAUAUACCUCCUUAUAAAUUUUAGAGAAAUACUGAAUGUUGCUGUGGAGAAGUCUGAGGCCAAUGUGAUUACCGUUCUCUGCUGUGUGAGAUUUACUUUGCUGUUUGAACACGUGAAGUAUUAUUUCCUUAUCUUGAAGUUCAAUAGCAUAAUUAGGAUUUAUCUUGAUGUUUUUAUUCCCCAUUAAGUUUCACAGAAAAAAAGGUAUGUUUGAUAUGCAAAUUUAAACUUUUAGUUUCAAGAACUUCUCUUAUCUUAAUCUUUGCAUGUACCAUCAGGUAUCUGUUUGGUUCUUGACUCAGGGACACUGGUUUUUCUUAUAUUGGACUUUCAUUGUCUGUCUUCAAUGUCUAAUAGCUUUUCACUGACUAAUGUUACUCCUUUGUCUUUUUCACUUCUAUUCAUUUUGUUUUUGUCCAUGCAAGUCAUUUAAUUUCUAGAAAUACCUAUAUUAUUUCUUGUUUCUAUUCUCUAUUGUAAUAUUGUUAGAUCCUCAAUUUAAUUAUGCCCCUCUAUAUCAAUUCUAUUGUGUUUUGUUCAUCUUUGGGCUUUUUUGUAAUGUGUCAGUUUUUCCAUCCCAUGAAGAAUUGAGAGGACUUUCCUCUGUCUUUUGUAUUGUGUUUCCUCUGUGUUGUUGUUUUGGUUGGCCUUUUGCCUGGUAUUCUUUUUCUUUGAUUGCUAUUGUUUUAAUAAGUUUGUGCUAUUCCGUGUAUUUCUUUUCACUUUGCUUGUAUUUGGGCAUGUCUCUCAGAUGUUAUUAUGAUACACAGUGAAUGACCAUUUGGUCCUCUUCCAAUCUUCUUUAAGUCAUAUUUGUUUUCUCCUCACAUUCCUGUACCCUAUUCUAAGCAAGAGUUUGAGGACUGGGUUGUGUAGGCUGCCUCAUUUUCUAUGGCCUAAAGAAAUGGAGUUGGGGAAAGAGGGUGGAACAAAGAAGGUGCGGUAAUAAUGUCACAUUUUUUGAAUUUCUAAGUUCAUAGAACAAAUUUCUGCUCCCGAAAAACAUGAUAAGAAAAAAUAGAGGUUUCAAACCACUGGGAGGAGAUGAGAUCAUUAGACCGUUCAUCUUUAUGUAACCAGACUCCUCAGUUAAAGGUCAUUUUCAAAGCACACCUGCACUUGUUUUUUUCUUAUGAAAAUAUCCUGUAUAUCCUUAAUUUGGCAAUAUAAAUGUGACCAAUUGUUUUAAAAACAGAAGUGAUGCUGGAUAUUAAAAUGUAAACUGUUUUCUAAAUGAAAAACUUAAAGGAAUGUAAUUAGAGAAGUAUAAACAGUGGUUAAUAUGCUGCUUCUUGAAAAGACAUAUUACAACUUACAGUCUUUCUUCAUAAGUGUAUGUUGUUACUGUUUAAUCAGGAGUGUGAUUGUAUUCAGCUGUUAAGCAAUCCUAUUAGCUGGGAAAUUGCAUUAUUAUUUGCUGGUCUGUUUAUGUUAUAUUGUUGUUGGCACUCUAAGUUUCUCUUUUUUCUCCAAGCCUUUCUUACUCUGGUCUCUGUAAUCUGUAUAAUUGUCUUUUUUAACUUUUAUCUUUAGAAAAUAUUGAAUAGAGAUACUGGGAGUGAUUAACUGUGUCAGAAUCACAAAGUUCUAGUGCUUUUCAGAUUAAUCCUGGAGACAUUAUGUUGCUGUUUUAAAAGACAGAAGGACCUAGAUCCAUCAUGGAGUGCCACAGCAGGGUUGUGGCCAAUGGUCCUUCCUGCCUAGGGAGAAUCCACAAAUGGUAUCUAGGAAGACCUGCUGCUGACCAGACCAAGGCCACUUCAGUGCAUGACAUCUUCUUGGACUCAUCAACCUUGACCUCAAUGGUCAGAGAUCUCUCUACUAGUAAUUCUAAGUGUUGGCAACAAAAAUGAAGAGAGCAAAAUAGGGAGUGCUCUCUAUUCUGGGGAAGCAACAGUGGAAGAUUUGCCUGAGUAAGAAAAUCUCCUAAAAGUUUUCUGUGUCCAUCUAAACAUUCAUACAUUCAUACAUACUUCAUUCCUUUGUUCAUUCAUUUAUUUUCCUUGUCUUCUCAUAGAAUAUGUUUUCUGAGAUCAGGUUACUAUGUUGCUGUUACAGGAAAUCGGAUUAAUUUUAAAUUUCUAUAUGCAAUAAAACAAAAGCCUUUGACAUCUCCCUUUUAUUUUCAACAGUUAAUGAGUUUAGAAGCUCAUUGAUACGGUUUGGCUGUGUCCCCACCAAAAUCUCAUAUUGAAUUCCCACGUGUUGUGGGAGGGACUCAGUGGGAGGUAAUCGAAUCAUGGGGGCAGGUCUUUCCCAUGCUGUUCUUGUGGUAGUGAAUAAGUCUCAUGAGAUCUAAUGGUUUUAUAAAGGGGCGUUUCCCUGCAUGAGCUCUCUCUCUUUGCCUGUCACCAGCCAUGUAAGACAGGACUUGCUCCUCCUUGCCUUCCACCAUCAUUGUGAGGCCUCCCAAGCCACAUGGAACUGUGAGUCCAUUAAACCUCUUUUUGUGUAUAAAUUACCCAGCUCUGGUAUGUCUUUAUCAGUAGCAUGAAAAUGGACUCAUACACUCAGUUUUAAAACAAGUUACAUGAAGUUGCAGAGCUCUUUAAGAAAGCCAUGACUUGCCCAGACAAAUCAGUACUAGUGUGUUAACUGAACUCAAUUUGAUUUUUCUGGGCUUUGCUUUGUAUUGGCCCCUUCUUGUUAAAUAAAAAUAAGAAAUUAAAUAAAAAUGUUAACAAAUAGUUUUGACAAAACUGAAUAUAAUACACAAAACAUUGUGAUGCAGCUUAAAAUUUAAAAAGAAAAAAAGAACAGCUUCAAGAGAAUUAAGUACUAAUUAAGUACUAAGAGAGCAAUCAUCAGAGCUAGAUACAAAACAUCUAAUAUCUUUUGAGAAACAUUCCUUAUGUUACCCAAUUCUUCCUUACACAUCUUACUGGCUAAUUGAGAAAGCAAUGCAUUAAAAUCACAUUGAAAUGAAUUAAUAUGAUAACUGGAAGCAAUGAGAGGUAACUGAGACAUAAUUGCAAAUGCAGAAUUUUUUUCAAUUUGAAAUUGAACAUUUAACAACCAAUUUGGAAUUUUCUAUUUUUGAAAAUCCAGUAGCUCUUGGAGUGAAUAGACCAAAUGACUCCAUUUUAAUAGGUCUCAUCAUUGAUCUCUGCUUAUGAAAUUUGCUUCAUUGCCUUUGUGUACCUGAGACUGAAAUGCAGAGCUGUUCUGGAGCCUCCAGGUAGUCCAGGAUUUCAGUGCAAACUUGUCUUACACAAAGAGGUCUGUAAAAAUAAUCUGGCUGCUAUGAUUUGAAUGUCCUCUCCAAAACUCAUGUUAAAGUUUAAUUGUCUUUGUGAUGGUAUUAAGAGAUGGGACCUUUAAGAGUUAAUUAGGUCAUGAGGGCUCUGCCUUCCUGAAUAAGUUAAUGCCAUUAUCAUAGGAGUAAGUUUGUUAUCUCGGGAAUUCAGCCCCCUUUCUCUCUGUGUCUUGCACCUGCCUCACCAUGUGAUGCCUUCUGCCAUGUUAGGAUGUAGCAAGAAGGCCCUCACCACCUGUGGCCGUACAGUCUUGGACCUUCCAGCCUACAGGACCCUGAGACACACAAAUCUCUCUUCUUUAUAAAUUACCUAGUCUAUAGUAUUCUAUUACAGCAGCAAAAACAGACUAAGACACUGGUCUUUUACUUUUGAUUUUGUUUCUAUUGAUUUUUACUAGGUACAUCUAAUUUCACCUCUUGAAGAUGGCUGACAUGGUCACUGAACUGAAGCUUUGUGGUGAAGAAACUAUUAAGCAAAUGGGGAGGAAGAGCCAUACAAUUUCACUUUAGUGAGGAGCUAAGAACUAAUUUUAUUCCAAAAUCAAACUCAUGCCAAAAACGGGCCAAUGCAAUCAUUUAGGGAUAAAGAACCUAGAGUUUCAGGCAUGAGUGGAAAUGUGCUGAGGGGUCCAGAACAUGCCACUCCAAAAAAACCCUCCUUGGCAUAAGGAUUGUUUUGAGCUGAAGGCAAUUGAGAAUCAACAGAUGCAGGAAAAAUUCUCUACCCUUUCUUUUGUGCCUAAAAGCAAUACAUAAACUUGUCUUUGUGAAAAUGACAUGAGUUUUUCCCUCUCCUGAACCAGGAUGAAGAGAGCUACCCUUAUCACCACAUAUGGAGAGCCAGCACCAAGAUGAUUUUGUUCACAGACUCCAGCCACUGAUCAAAAGAGGGUGGAGGAAAUGUUUUCCAACCCUACAAUGCACACUGUAUCUCUGUGCAGCAUACACCUCUGUACGACAAUUUCCCUUGUUGUUUGCCUGAAGACACAUGAGCUGCAACUCUGAAUCGGGAAAUAGAACUUCAAUCACUUUCGUGGAGCAAUUGGGGAAUGAAACAACCUUGCAUGCUCCUCUGAGGAGUAUGCCAUGAGAGCUCAGAGGCUACUAUUAUUGGCUGAACAUUGGUGUCAAAAUCUUGAUUGAUGUCCAAAUGCUUCUGGUCUCAUCCUAGACUUGUGAGGUUAAUUAUAUUCUAAAGCAUACCAAGCUCUUCGUGUUUGCUGCUGGAGUGACUGUGUGUUCCCUUGCCCUUAGAUGAAGAAAUGCUUUCAAAACCUCUGAAGAUGCCUGAAUGGUCUGAGGUUCUAAUGGUUUACAUUUUCUUAUCGUUCAUAUGGAUAAAAAUAUGGCUGCAUUCCAACUGUCAAGAUACAUUUGUGUGUUGCCUAUAAAACUAGCUCUUCUGUUUAAAUGAAGAGCAGAUAAAAAGCAUGUAUGCAAUUAGUCUAAUCGGUUCAAUGGCAAAUUACAGAGCAAAGAUUGUGGUAGGAUAAUCUUUCGGAUUAUUCAUUCUGAGUUUAAAAAUGUUUUGGCUUCUAACAGAAAUCCUUUAAUUAUAUGCUAAAGUGGUGAUAACCUCAUUACAAUAGUUUUGCUUAUUCCUCAAAGCAUUUAUUAGUUUACUUCUUUAAAAUUUGAAAGUGACUAUAAAGUUAGGAAGUAAACAUUUUUGAAAGGAUCAAUUAAUGAUUUAAUAAUUUGAAUUGUUCUCCAAAGAUUAGACAUGGCAAUUGAAAAUAAAUGUAGAAAUCUCUUCCCUAUGCUCAUCAAAAUUUUGACAUGUAUUCAUAUGCCUACUUAUAAAGGAGAUUGGCAGCACAUAAUUGAUACCAUCUAGCCUUUAUUUACAGCAAUCAAACAUAAGACCUUGACAACAUUAACAUGCCCUGUGUGCAUGUGUGCACAUACUCAUAUAUACACACACUCAUAUAUACACACCCACACAUAUAACACCCAUACACACACAUACAUAUACACACAUAUACACACAGAUACAUAAACACACACAUACUCUUCACAGUCUUUCUAGGUGAAUCCCCCAAUCUAAAAUGGCCUCCCUCCACACACCCUGUUUGUUUGUAUUAUCUCUAGCUUGCCUUUGCUUUUUGUCAUUGCCCAGGAGUGCCAAAUGCACCCAAUUUCAUCUUCAUUUGUUUAUGGGCUUGUCUAUCUCCCCACUGGAACAGUGCCCAGGGGGGAUAGUGGCUGUUUCUGAAUUGUUCACUGCUGUAUCCUCAGUACCUAGAUCAAUGCACGGCUCACGAUAGGUGCUAAGAAUUUGUUCAGUGAAUAAGUGACUGUUCCCAUUUGGACUUAAGCUUGUGCAGGGAAAAAAACAGACUGCUUUUCCUCUGCUCUCACCCCACAAUCAACACAGAAGACUUCUAUGGCCAAAUGUGUGCAUUUUUCCCCCCAUAUACUAAGCAAUCAAUCUGUUCCACAGCAGAUGCCAGCUGGGAGUCCUCCAGCCCAGGCAGUGCUGAGUCUACUGGAGAUAGCGUCAGACCCCACGGAAUGAAGGCUCAGUCCCACAAGACUGCCUCCACUUCCGGUGCCAAUCGCAAACCCCAGGUUGUUCACUUGUCUUCUGACUGACCAGCUAUAAAUCAGGGAUCCCAUGGAGCCGCUCAUAGAACUCAGGAAAUCUCUUAUGUUUGCUAGUUUAUUACAAAGGACGUUACAAAGACUGCAGAUGAAGAGGUGCACAGGACAGGGCAUGGGAGAGGGGUGUGCCACCCUCUAGGCACCUCCACGUGUUCAGCUGUUUAGGAAAAUCUCUCAAACCCUGUUCUUCCUCUCCUCUCACACCUCAGCAGCCAUCAAUGCAGAAGACUUUUGUGACCUAAUGUGGUGGGGUUGGUUUCUUCACAUAGCAAUCAGUGGACACCAGCUGGGUCCCUCUAAUUCAGUUCUAACGCUAUCUACUUGGAGGUAACCUCAGAUCCCACAGGUUGAGGCUUAGUCCCCAAGACAGCCCGCCUCAGACACCAGUGGCAAGUCCAGGCUCUGAAACUUCUGACUGACUGGCUGGCUAUAAAUUGGGGAUACCAGGACCCUCUUUGGGUUUAAUUUGUUGGAGUGGCACACAGAACUCAGGGGAACACCAACUUGUGUUUACCAGUUUAUUGUAAAGGAUAUUACAAGGAUACAUCCAUCAAGGAUACAGAUAAUGAGAUGCGGAGUGAGGUAUUGGGGAGGGCACAGAGCUUCCACGCCCUCCGUGGGUAUCACGCUCCAGGACCCUACCCAGGCUCAACCACCCGGAAGCUCUCUGAACCCUGUCCUCUUGAGUUUUUAUGGCAGCUUCAUUAUGUAGGCAUGAUUGAUUAAACCAUUGGCCAUUGAUGAUCAACAUAACCUCCAGCUUCUUCCCCUCCCUGGAGAUUAGGAGGUGGGACUGAAAGUCCUAGCCCUCUAAUUGUGCCUUUGUCUUUCUGGUGGCCAACCAUAUCCUGAAGCUAUCAGUAAACAUCAGCAAACAAAAAGACAGCACUUCGAAGUUUCCAAGGAUUUUAGGAGUUGUAUGCCAGGAAAACUGGCGAAGACCAAAUAUAUGUAUUUCAUAAUAUCAUAGCUUCCUUCUCUGAAUUUCUGUAAGACUUUAGCUUCACAUGUGAAAAUAAGUAAUUCAAAAUCUAAGCUACUGAAACUUUGAAAUAUUUCAAGCCUUAAGGAAAUGUGAUUAUGGGAUCUGAGUCAUGCAAACAGGCAGCUGUAAUGUAGGCAGCUGUAAUCUUUAUUUCUCUGAUUAUAGAUUAGCCUUCUUCCUUACCUACAGUGUUUUGUAAAAUGCUGCAAAUGACUAAAGAGUGACAAGAAAGACCCCUUCCCUCUUCACUACUGAUCUUUGUUAUAGAUUAACAUCCUUCUUACCUUUCUCACACAAAGACUUUGGCUAUCACCUUGCCUAAAAUAAAAUGUUAAAUAUACACUUUUAAAUUGGAAACAAAAACUAGCUGUAAAGAAAAGAAAACGUGUCACAUGGAGAAAAAAGCAAACUGCACUAAUUAAAUUUUUGCAACUAAUAAACCAGACUUGCAUAGAAAAUGUUAUAAUCCUACUAAACUUCUUUGUUUUCUGCCUAAUGAGAAAUAAAAAAUAAAAUCCUAAGCCCCCCAUGUGACUAAACAGACUCCCUCUUAGCCAAGAGGACCCUGAAGAAACCUUAAAAAAAACAGCUCUCAGCCAUGACAGUAUAGGAUGUCAGAUGGGCCUCAUGAUAGACCCUCCUUUGCUAAAUGCCAUUAGACUUUCUUUUCCUAAGCUUUAAACAAAAACCAGCCCUCCUGAAAGACUUACUUGACUGCUGAUUUCAACCAAUCACCUGACACUACCCCGGUUUGGUGGACAGCAACUGAUCAACAUUCCUUCCUGGUAAGAGACCACCAACCAUGGAGUGGUUUGGAUCAGUUUAAAGAGACUGCACAAUGAGGGCCUUCAGGUCAUCUGCUUUACCUUUUGAUGUAUAGGAUCUAAUUAUAAUACAUUUAAAUGAUAAGUCUCCACCCCAAAGUAAACGUGGGAUACAUGUUACUUAUGUGUUACUCUACUACACAUGCCUAUGCCUCCCCUUUGUAAAAUAUUCAGAGCUCCUCUUAUAACCUGUAGAAUAUAUAUACCUAGCCAAUCUGUUCAACAUAAGUUCCUGUCUUAUCCUUCCCUCCCUUGAAGUGCCUGCUUUCAGCUUCUGAAAGAGGCUAUGCUUCCCAGCCUACAGGCAGCAACCCUUUAUGAGAAAUAAAGCUCUCCUUUCCAAAUUUAUGAACCUCAUGAUUCUUCAGAUGACACUAUAUAUAAAAGCAAAACAACUUUUAAGUUCAAAGUGCUGACCCUACUUCUCUAGUGUCUUUGUCUUCCAGAUGGUCAUUCCCAGCUUUUCACCAGAAUAAGCUUUUUAAACUGGAUUCUGAUCAUUUCUAUUAUUUCAGGCUGACACACAUAAUUCAUCACCUCCUUCAUCUUACUACAGUCAUUCAUUCAUUUACCAUGUCUUCCUGUGAGCUCCCUGAGAGCAGGUUCUGUGGUAGGUAAAUUUGUGUUCCCUCUGGCACUCAACUCAGGAACUUGACAUUGAAAGGUGCUUAAACAUAUUAUUGAAGAAAUGCAUUCAUCUAUUCAAGUCCUGUUUCCUAAGAACAUUUCAGUAAAGUCUAUUCUGUAAAAAUGUUCAUCUAUGGACAUGUAUAGAUAUUUGUUUGAUUAUAGCUAGGAGCCAGUAUUAGCAUUGAAGAUUUGUUCUUAUAGUGCAUGUUCUCAUAAAACCAAGUCUGGACACGAUCAGUUUCUGUCCUUGGCACAAUUGGAGAAAGAUCUUUGCUGCCACAAUUUCCUAAAUGCCUGUCUUGUUGUCCAAGCAUGAAAGGGUUUCCUUUGCCACAUCCUCACUUUGCACUUCUCAGAGUCAGGUUCUCUGUGUCCCUGGUGCUUAAAUCAUUUUAGGCUAAAGGAAAAUGAUAAUGAAGACACAUAUUCUCCCUCUCAUUCACUGCCUCUCUCUUCUGGUGGUUUCUAUCUUAAUGGAUUGAUAUAGUUUGGCUCUGUGUCCCCACUCAAAUCUCAUGUUGAAUUAUAAUUCCCAAUGCUGGGGGAAGGACAUAGUGGGGGGUGAUUGGAUCAUGGGGGUGAAAUUCCCCCCUGCUGUUCUCAUGAUAGUGAGUGAGUUCACACCAGAUCUGAUGGUUAAAAGUGUGUGGCACAUCCCCAUUUGCUGUCUAUCUCUCUCUCCUGCCACCAUGUAAAGAGGUGCAUUAGAUUAAAUGAAAUGAAAUAAUAUUUACUAACUACGUCCUCUUCACCUUUUGCCAUGAUUGUAAGAUUCCUGCGGCCUCCCAGUCAUGCUUCCUGUUAAGCCUGUGGAACUGUAGGUCAAUUAAACCUCUUUUCUUCAUGAAUUAUCCAGUCUCAGUAGUUCUCUAUAGCUGUGUGAGAACAGACUAAUACAUGGAUCUUAAUCCUAGAGAUGGACUCUUAAGCAUUGUCUUUUUUGGGACAGCACUGGAAUAAAAAUUUUCAGAUUUACAUGAGCCAAGAGAAGAGAGCAACGCUCUGAAUUAUCCUUGGGGAAACGGGGGAAGACAAAGUCUGCGGCACCCUGCAACUCACCCCGUAAGCUGUCGGCCUGCUGUAAAGACAUGUAGGGUGUUAAUUCCUUAUAUGACAAAACAAAUUUUGAUAAAUUUGAUUAGAAUUUUAUAUCUUGUGCUGUUUUCUAGGAUGCACAUGGGGAAGACGGACAUUUUUGUAAUUUUAGUAAAGUUCUGUAGGAUGAUGCACUGUGUAGCUAAAGGUGGUUGUUGUUGUGAUCUCAUGUUAUGGUUCUAGAUUUCCAGGUAGUAAUUUAAGUGUAGAGUAACAUAAUGGUGCCAGCCAUUCAUUUUAUGUUAAGUGUGCUUUUCCCACUCUCAUACCACAAAGGCAAUGUUAAAUAAUUACAGAGAAUUGAUUAUGAGGCCAAGAAAAUGAAAGGCUACUUUUGAAUGAUGCUUUAAUACAACUUAAAAGUUAAAUGUGAAGGAAACAGAUAGACUUCUAGAUUCAUUCAGAGCCCAAGGCCCUGUUACUUCUAAAAUCACAGAGUUAAUAAUCUCAACUUGGGGAGACUGAUUUGCUGUUAAAGAUCAUGCAAAGAGUGAGGCUAGUGAAUAUUAGUGAUUCUAGAAAAGUGAUUCUCAAAUAUUUUAUUACGUUGCGGCUAACAAAAUUGUUAAGGAGAGACCUGAGUAGAGAGACUCCUGAGUGUAACACUUAGUACCCUGAAAGUGUAAGAUUUGGACUCCAUUUUAUGAACAUUUUAAUCCACGUGAUCAUUGUUUUGAUUGAAAUGUCUAUAUAAUUGAGCCUGGUCUUAACAUUUCCUUAAAUAUUCACCAUUAGAAGUAAUCUUCUGUGAAAAAAAAAAAAAAGGAUCUCUUAGUUGGCUGAUCUUGGCUUGCUCAUUUUAAUACUAGGAAAAUGAUGUUAAUUUUUUUAAGAAAGACUUAAUGGUGCCAUGAUUAAGGGUGAUGGUUACUGGUGCUUAAAAAAAACUUCCCUCCCCAAUUUUAUGAUAUUUGUGCAUUUUAGAAAUUUUUGGAUAUCUUUUAAGGAAAGCACUGAGCAUGUCACAGAUAACCUCUGUUGAUAUUUUUACGUAAACCUUUCUUUUUACUGUGCUUACGACAUUUUUAAUAAAAUAAGAUCACAUUGUGCAAAGUAAAUAUGGAGUCCUUUGUAAUCUGUAUUAUUUUAAAACUGAAGUAUUAAAGAUUAUUCCAUUCCACUUAAUAUUAUUUUUCUGCAUCAGGCAUUUGAACAUGUGGUCUGUGACCCCACAUAAGGAGGUGAUGGCAGUGAUGCCACCGCCCAUCAGGAAGGCAGCUGCAGCCUCACACCCAACAGCAUUGAACCUUAAGGUCAUGGCUGGGAAUGUAGACCCGUCCAAUGUUCUCAAUUUGUUUUCCAGUGAGGGCUCUAGGACGAAAUCCUCUUUCAUGAGUCAUGUGAAAGAUGAAACGUGUGGCACUGAGUUUUGCAUUCAAAAUAAAAAGAAUAGACUAUUCUAACAUCUGUUACGUUGCUGUUUUGCUUAUUCUUGUGGAACUUAAGAACAAAGUGAAAACACCUAUUGGUUAGUUGCUUUCAAAUAAAAUGUAUUCAUCGCUAAUUUGUCCUUGUGAAAGGGUGCCCAUUCCUAAUGCAGGUGCACUGGCCGUGUGCACUCCAUGGUCCCAGCAGCUCUCGCUCCCUGGACUCCCGCCGUAGUGAGCGUUUACUAAGGACCUGUUGAUCUGGAAAGACAAACCCAACCCAAAGGAGAUUAAGGGUAUCGUGCAGCAGUUUUUGGUGUUACUGACGACCAGCUCUGACGAGAGUCUUCGGUUUCUUAGCUUCAGGCUGGACUUCAACGAGCAUUACAAAGCCAGGGAGCCCAGGCUCCGCGUGUCUCUGGGUACCAGGGGGCGGCGCAGCUCCCACACGUGAAGCUCGCGGUCCUCCCAGGGAGCUGCGGGUGAUGUUCGUUGCACUGCUAGACACGAAAUUCCCAUUGACGUCCUGCAGGAACUGCAUGCUGCAGGUGUCCUGCCCUUCCGCCCACGAGUGCGCCAUGUUUCAGCGGAGCGGCGUGUGGGAGAAGCCACGUCGUGUUGCACACGUCGGAGUUGAAUGCAUUUGUAAAUCACUAAGUCAAGUAGGCUGGCUGCACUGUUCACAUUUGUCUCUAAAAGUCUUCAUCCCCAAAAGAUACCAUAAUUUGCUGAGGCUUCUGAAUCUUAAGUGCUCUAAGUUAUAACUUAUAUUUGUCACUUUAAAAGAACUGUUUGUUUAGCAAAAUCUACAGCAAGGGUAUAUUUAUAAAGUGAUAAUGUCAUUGCUGUUAUUUAGCAUCCUCUUCAGAAACUUUUUUUUGCAAUAUUAUUAGAUUAAACUGAAAUACAUAGAAAAUAUAGAGAGCAUUUUAUUAUCUUGGUAUUCAAGGUUGUAAAGUGUGAAAAUUUUUGUAUCUUACAUAUAUCUAUUCUUUUCUCUCUCCUUUCAAGGUUUACACUUACAGAUUUAAUUUACUAUUCUAGAUAACUUCUAAAAUAGUACAGAACACGAGUAGGAGUGUUGUGGAACAAAAACAUCCUUAAACUUAAAUUUCUUGACGCCACCAGCUGAAGCAGUGUGGCAACAGGAAUGACUAGAAAGUUAACAAAGUAUUUUAUUUUUACAAUUUUGAUGAGCAUUAUAAAGAAAUCGAUUUGGAUAAUGAAGGUUUCUUUUUUCUUUGACUAAUUUUUCCUUGUAAAUAUUUAUAUACUAUUGACCAGAUGCUGGGGAGAACGGUGUCUGUAAAAAGUCACGUCAUAUCAGCUUGCCUUUAUUAUGCUGUAUAAGUGAAAACUUAGAAAACUGAAAGCAAUUAUCUUUCAAAGCAUUGGCUGUUUUUUGAAUAGUCUAUUAAGUGACAGUUCAUUUGCCAGGGGGGCGGGGAUUGACAGGAUUUGAUUUAAUGUAGUACAGCAUAUGAAUUAUUUAAUCAUAAUUAGAAACCAAGAAAUUAGAUUUUGUGUGACUUUCGGUGUAGAAGCAAACGCAAUGUCACCACUCAGGUCUCAGGAGCGGUGCUUUAGUUAUCUGAAUCUGCCUCUGACUCCUUUAGGUGUGGAUUCCCUUUAAAACUAAAGGGGCCAUCAAGAAUCCUGGCCAUGCAGAAAUGAUUCCAUGGCAAAGGCCAGAAAUUCUUAGGAUAAAAACUUAAUUUAAUUUUAGUUUUCAAGUUCAUAAAAUCAGAAAUUUGAAACAGAUUUCUCCACUGCAAGUUGUCCUAGAAAUUAUGGCGUAUUGUGUAUCUCCGAGAGAGGUUUACCAAGGUUAUUAACCAUGCAGCCAGCUUUUAUUUUAUUUUAUUCAGAGAGUUGUUCCAGGGAUUAAUCCUCGGUAGAAACCACCCUAGCAAAGGCCCACCUCGAUUUUAGGGAUUACGACUCCAUUGGAGUGUAGGAGUCACCAGGACUUAGGUCAGAUCUGUGGGCUAUGGAGGGCUUCCGGGAGGUGCGGCCCUGGGGGGUGCCUGCGGGUCUGGAGGGUGGGAGCUGGGAUGGGGUGAGGCCUCUGAGGAGCUGCGUGAGACCCACUCUCCGUCAUUGUGGGUGCACAAUCAGGCCCCUUAGGGAGCCAGGGCCCCAAAACCCAGCAUCAGCCAAGCAUGGAUGACUUGGGGGUUCCACACUGGGGUUGUGCGUAAAGGAGAGCUCCUCUCAGGGGUGGGUGCGCCCGGCCCGGGGGUGCCACGUCUUCACCCAGAAAACGAGGCCGAGUCUGCAGGGGCCCUGCUGCAUGGAUGGAGGUGUGGGUGGUUGGUAGGACCCCAGGC